rnacentral:rRNA from 1 species
AACGAACGCUGGCGGCAUGCCUAACACAUGCAAGUCGAACGAGACCUUCGGGUCUAGUGGCGCACGGGUGCGUAACGCGUGGGAACCUGCCCUUAGGUUCGGAAUAACUCCCCGAAAGGGGUGCUAAUACCGGAUAAUGUCUUCGGACCAAAGAUUUAUCGCCUUUGGAUGGGCCCGCGUUGGAUUAGCUAGUUGGUAGGGUAAAAGCCUACCAAGGCGACGAUCCAUAGCUGGUCUGGGAGGAUGAUCAGCCACACUGGGACUGAGACACGGCCCAGACUCCUACGGGAGGCAGCAGUGGGGAAUAUUGGACAAUGGGCGAAAGCCUGAUCCAGCAAUGCCGCGUGAGUGAUGAAGGCCUUAGGGUUGUAAAGCUCUUUUACCCGGGAUGAUAAUGACAGUACCGGGAGAAUAAGCACCGGCUAACUCCGUG